GUUUAUAUGAAUCGCUUGGUAAUGAAUUUCGUGUAUAUUUUAAAAAUUGCACUUUGCAUUGAAAUAAUUUUAAAUUUUUAUUUUUGAAUAACAAUGCAAACAACUUUUCAAGAUAUACGAAGAUGGGAUGACCUAAUUGAAAAUGCCAUAACAUGAUGUCAUUAUUGGGAGCAUUAACUAAAGAGUUGUGUGGAACCAGACUACCAAAUUUGUAGAGCUUGUCCACUUGGAGGGUCAUUGCCAAUGAGGAGAUACAACCCCAAACACUCAUUAGCACUGUUAAUCGUUCUUUCUAUAUCGAUAUCACAAAAUUAAUAAGAAUUUUUAAAAAUUUAAUGACACAGUUGUGACUUUGAGUCAAUUUGUCGGGAGAUAACAAGUUAUAAUCUAAUUUUAUAACAAAUACCACAAAGUAAAGUAUUAAGUCUUUCGUUAACUCCACUGUUCCAAUUCCAGUGACUUGUGAUUAUGUUCCAUCAACAAUUCACAAAUACCACUUUUUUUUACAUGGAUCAAGAUUAGCAAACAACUAUAAAGCUCUAGUUAUAUGGUCAGAGGCACCUGAAUCAACAAUUUAGAUAAUAGAUUUUUCUUUUUCAACAUUAAGGACAUGUAUGGUGUUAUUUUUAUGAGCCACAAAACCUGAGGCUAUGAAAGUAGUAGGUUGAUUGUUUUGCUGCAUAAACAAUUAUUGGAGCAAUUACAAUGUUCUUUGUUAAACAAAGACAUCUCAGUACUUUCAAGCUUCUCUCUCAAGAUGGCUAAAUUACCUCUCGGUAUUAAGUUUUGCACCUUCUACUCUAUCAUGCAAAUCCGAACAUUUAUCCUUAGUGUGACCAAGUUGGUGAUAAUGAUUGCAUUUUAGUCUUUCCCUCCUUUGUUUCCCGGAGUUGAGUGGUUGUUGUCCUCUUUUAAUUAUAAAUGUAGUUGCUUCAGAAUCGUUGAAUGAAUUAUGAGUUUCCAUCAUGAGUGGUUCUUGUCCUCUUUUAAUUAUAAACGCAGUUGCUUUAGAAUCGUUGAAUGAAUUAUGAGUUCCCAUCAUGACUUUCUUGCAACUUUCUUCAGGCCUAACUCUAGCAAAUGAUUCGUGAAAGCUAGGAAUUGAUCAAUUGGAAAGGAUCCUUCCACACAAAUUAUCCAAAUUCUUGUCUAGUCCAUGAAGAACUUGUAUAAUCUCUUUUGUUCCAUAAAUUUCUUACAAUAUAAAGCAUCAUGUUAUGGACGCAUUUA
rnacentral:lncRNA from 1 species